UUGGUUGUCGUCAGCUCGUGUCGUGAGAUUGGUUUGGGUUAAGUCCCGCAACGAGCGCCAACCCUUAUUGAUAGUUACUAACGCGCAGAGGCGAGGACUCUAUUGAGACUGCCGGGGACAACUCGGAGGAAGUGGGACGACGUCAAAUCAUCAUGCCCCUUAUGACCUGGGCUACACACGUGCUACAAUGGCCGACACAGAGAGAAGCGAAAGCGCAAGCCGGAGCGGAUCUCACAAAAGCGGUCGAAGUUCGGAUUGUGGGCUGCAACCCGCCCACAUGAAGAUGGAGUUGCUAGUAACCGCAGGUCAGCUAUACUGCGGUGAAUACGUUCCCGGGGCUU
rnacentral:rRNA from 1 species